rnacentral:rRNA from 1 species
UACGUAGGGUGCAAGCGUUGUCCGGAAUUAUUGGGCGUAAAGAGCUCGUAGGCGGUUUGUUGCGUCGGCUGUGAAAUCCCGAGGCUCAACCUCGGGUCUGCAGUCGAUACGAGCAAACUAGAGUGUUGCAGGGGAGACUGGAAUUCCUGGUGUAGCGAUGAAAUGCGCAGAUAUCAGGAGGAACACCGGUGGCGAAGGCGGCUUCCUGGACACUAACUGACGCUGAGACGCGAAAGCGUGGGGAGCAAACAGG